UGCCCGUUCCUUUUUUCUUCUCCGCACGCCCAAUGCCGAAGCCCUAACCGGCGACGCACGCGGCGGUUGCUUCCCCUACCUCGUGAUUUAGGCUUCCGAACCAAGGGAAGUCGACACUUCCUUUCUCCCUCUCCGCAGCCGAGUGACACCGUUUGUGCCCUAGAUCCACCGACGGAUGCAACUCACAGAGCCGACGCUGCUCUCUUCUUCUUCUUCCCGAGAUACCGCCGGCAAUAGGAGCCCUAGCGUCGACCUUCUGCCCGCGACGCCGGUCUCUCCUCUGUGCCCUAGCCUUCCUUCUGCCACAGCCGCCACAGGGAGCAGUGACGCCGCCUUUCCUCUUCUUCCUGCCCAAGCGCCGGUGACGUGCGAGCAUAACCGAGCAAAGCCUUCACAUUUCUCUAGCGCCAUCCUCCUUCCCUCUGUGCUGCCGAGCUGACUCUCACAGCCUACUUUCGUGCCCUAGUUGGGUGUACUGCCGCCGCUGCUCCUCUACACAGUGCCGCCGUCGUUCGCUCUAUUGCCGGCCAGCCGAACCCUAGAUCGUUGCUUGCUCACCUGGGCCCUAGUUCCCUACUACUGAAGCUUCUAACCCGUGCCCUAGCAGUUUUCAGCUGUGUCAAUUGGAAAUUCUUCAACCUUGGAUUUAAAAGUGAUACAUCCAGAUUUAGGACUUUGACGCGAGACGAGUAUCUCAGAGUCAGAAUUUGGACCUUUCUUUUGUCGGAGG